UACGUAGGGGGCAAGCGUUGUCCGGAUUUAUUGGGCGUAAAGAGCGUGUAGGCGGCCAGACAGGUCCGUUGUGAAAACUCGAGGCUCAACCUCGAGACGCCGAUGGAAACCGUCUGGCUAGAGUCCGGAAGAGGAGAGUGGAAUUCCUGGUGUAGCGGUGAAAUGCGCAGAUAUCAGGAAGAACACCCGUAGCUAAGGCGGCUCUCUAGUACGGUACUGACGCUGAGACGCGAAAGCGUGGGGAGCGAACAGG
rnacentral:rRNA from 1 species